UACGGGGGGGGCAAGCGUUGUUCGGAAUUACUGGGCGUAAAGGGCUCGUAGGCGGCCAACUAAGUCGGAUGUGAAAUCCCCAAGCUUAACUUGGGAACUGCAUCCGAUACUGGAUGGCUUGAAUCCGGGAGAGGGAUGCAGAAUUCCAGGUGUAGCGGUGAAAUGCGUGGAUAUCUGGAGGAAUACCGGUGGCGAAGGCGGCAUCCUGGACCGGCAUUGACGCUGAGGAGCGAAAGCUAGGGGAGCAAACGGG
rnacentral:rRNA from 1 species